AUAGUCCUGAGAGUUGAACACUGGAUGACAGACAGCUGUCCUUCAUCACAACGGAAGCCACAGAAAUCCUCCUCAUCAAAAACAUGACUGUGAUCUCCGUCCUCAUCUGGACUCUCUUCUGCUGCUGCUUCACAGAGUCCAGAGGUCAGGUCACAGUGACUCAGCCUGGAGCAGUGAGCUCUGCUCUGGGAAGGUCCGUCAGUAUGAAAUGUAAGAUAAGUCAUACCGUUAUUAAUUCCGACUCUGUAGAAUGGUACCAACAGAAACAAGGAGAAGCUCCAAAACUGCUCAUUUACUAUGCUAUUAAUCGAGUAUCAGCGACCCCAGAUCGUUUUACAGGCAGUGGAUCAAGCUCUGACUUCACUCUGACCAUCAGUGGAGUCCAGACUGAAGAUGCAGCAGUUUACUACUGCAAGGGGCGACACAGCAUUAACAGUCAAUAUACGUGGACUUUUGGUGGAAGAACCAGACUGGAUGUUGGAAGUGAUGUCCGUCCCACCCUGACGGUGCUGCCCCCCUCCAGUGAGGAGCUGGAGCAGGGGAAGGCCACGCUCAUGUGCCUGGCCAACAAGGGCUUCCCCUCAGACUGGAGUCUGGCCUGGAAGGUGAACGGCAGCGGCAGCAUCAGCUGGGAGGAGAGCAGGAGCCCCGGGGUGCUGGAGAAGGACGGCCACUACAGCUGGAGCAGCACCCUGAGGCUCCCUGCAGACCAGUGGAGGAAGGUGGGCUCUGUGACCUGUGAGGCCACCCAGGGCUCCCAGACUCUGCUCUCAGAGACACUGAGGAGAGACCAGUGUUCCCAGUCCUGAGCUGACUCACUGGUUUUACUCUGAUACUGCUCUCAGUCUCUGAAACACUGUCUCUCUCUCUCUCUCUCUCUGUGUUUUUCUUUCCCUCACUCACUGUCUAAUCACAUUUCACUGAUAAAGUUACUUGAUUGUUAUAAUUCUGAUUAUUUCAACACAAUAAAGACCUUUUUUGGCAAA